UUAGAAAAUCAUUAUAAUUUGUACAAAAAUGGUUAUAAGAUAAAAUUUAUAUUCUUAGACUCCUUAAUGAGUCUAGUUUCAAAUGAAAUCAAAUAUAACAUAUUUUGAAUUCUGUACAAUGAGAAAUUUGAUUCGUAGUGAAGAGUGGUCAGAUUAGUCAAACAGUGAAACAGGGGAAACUUUAAGAAAAAUCUGGUAUUGAUUGGCCAAACCUAAAAUUCUGAAAAUUAUAUGGAUG
rnacentral:lncRNA from 1 species